CCUACGGGUGGCAGCAGUGAGGAAUAUUGGUCAAUGGACGGAAGUCUGAACCAGCCAUGCCGCGUGCAGGAAGACGGCUCUAUGAGUUGUAAACUGCUUUUGUACAAGGGUAAACCUGAAUACGUGUAUUCAGCUGAAAGUACUGUACGAAUAAGGAUCGGCUAACUCCGUGCCAGCAGCCGCGGUAAUACGGAGGAUCCAAGCGUUAUCCGGAUUUAUUGGGUUUAAAGGGUGCGUAGGCGGAUUGAUAAGUUAGAGGUGAAAUGUCCGAGCUUAACUCGGGAACUGCCUUUAAUACUGUCGAUCUAGAGUGUAGAUGAGGUAGGCGGAAUUUAUGGUGUAGCGGUGAAAUGCUUAGAGAUCACAAAGAACACCGAUUGCGAAGGCAGCUUACUAAUCUAUCUCUGACGUUGAGGCACGAAAGCGUGGGGAGCAAACAGGAUUAGAUACCCGAGUAGUC
rnacentral:rRNA from 1 species